GAGGAGCUGGCCGGGCGUCCCCAAAGCCCCGCGGCGGGUCGCCCCCGCGGCGCCUGCCGGCCCUGCGCGCCCCGCGGCCGGACGGAGCUGCCCCGGCCGCUUCGCGGGUCAGUCCCUGCCGGGCCGAGCAGAACGGAGACAGCGGCCGCGGGCGCUCGGGCCGCGUUACCUGGUCUCAGCCGGCAGCCGGCGAGCAGGGCCGGUACCGCCGCCACGGGCGGAGGCACAAAGUGCUUCAGCCGCACCGGCGCUCCCGGCCUGACCCUCCCCGCUGACAUCAGGCGGGCGGCAACGGCCCGGACCCCGCCCGCCGGCCGCGCCGCCCCUGGGUUCCGGAGUUGAGGCGCCGCGGCCGGGGCAUUGGCCGAGGGCGCGUGUGCGGCGGCUCCGAAGUGUCCAGGCGGAGCGGCGGGGCAGGCUGGAACGCGGAGACCAGAUCCCCCGGGGAGCGAGGCGUGGCCGCGGGCAGCUCCUCUCGGAGCGCUCUGCGCUGCACCUCCACGUUCAGCGCGCCGGCGAGAGAGGGGCCAAGCUCGGCGUUUCCCGCAUGGGGCUGCCCGAGGCUUGAGGGCUCGAGCGGGACUCGCGCGCUCUGGACAUGUCACGGCCGUGGCCCGCAGAAGUGCCGUGUGCUGGUCCACGGCUCUGCACGGCACCGCGAGGCGCAGCAGCAGCCUCGGCCAUUGCGUUGUGCGGCAAAGGCCUUGGCAGCGUCUCCACGAUGCGCUGCUGUGGAGUUCUAGGCUGCCGCAGUGCUCACCUUCCUGCAGGACCGUGUCACAGAGCUGAGAUCAACAUGUCAAUUGAGAAUGAUUAGCUCGAGUUUUGUUUUUAACCUAAUAAUCUUAGUCACCAAGUGAUGGUUCAUUUGUAACAUUGUAACAUGUUCAUGUUCCUUUACUGCCCUGCUUUUAAAUACCAGUUUCUUAGAUGAGGUUUGGCUGUGACAAGACUGGGAACUCUUGUUGUAGUGUGCACCUCCAGAAAAAAGAUGACUAAUGUAAACCAAAACCUGUUAAAACAUUUUAGAGAUUCUUCACUGUAAACAGUUAAUGAAGCACUUUGCUAAUUCAGGUGUGUCUGCAGAAGUCUAGUUACUUAGGAUAGUGGAAUUUGGCCAUGUAAGUUGCUGACAUCCUUUCCUAAAGAUGUUUGAUUCGGGAGACAUUAGUAAACUGUUGAAUUAUCAGCUUAAUAUUAAUU
rnacentral:lncRNA from 1 species